CAGAGAGCAGGUACUUGAGCCUCCCAGGCUCAAGUCAUCAAGGGCUAAUGAGCUCAUAAGCAAGAGGCUGGAAUGGAGGAGGAGCCAGGCAGAGGAAUAGGAGCGGGCUGAGCCAGGCACCCAGACAGGGGAUGCAGGGAUCCCAAGAGGUGACACCUUUCCAGUUGCACACAUUUCUGCCUGUCCAGCAUCAUUAUAUUCCCAGGAGUGGAACAUUUGCACCCAGCCAUCAAUCCAGGAAGUAGAAUAAAGAGGAAAAGGCUAAAUAAGACCCUGUAGAAAAUGAAAAAAAAAUCUCAAAUAUAGUUUAAAGUACAAGACAAUUGAUAUAACUGUCUCGUUCUGUUCACCCAAUCAAUGACAAGAGGUUUCUCACAAUCAUAAAUUUUGACAAGCCAUUAAGAACACGGAGAUAUUAAAGAAGGAUUUUGUAAUGAGGAUUCAGUAAUAGGAUCUGGUGCACGGUCUCUAUCUUUGGCACUCUAUCUUCUGGCUACUCCCGUUGCCAAGUGUUCAACUUGCUGACAGCAGAAUCUAUAAUUGAGCCCACAGAAUUAUAUCAGAGAUCUGGAAAUGAAAGCCUAUUACUCUGUGGAAGCAUUCUCUUCCCAGAAAUGCUCUCACCGUGACACCAGGGAGACAAGAAUGGUCAAGGCGGACAGUGCUUCUUUUUUCUCCAGGGAUAAUGGCUACAAGAAAUGAAAGGAGAUGAGUGGGGUACCAGCAGCAAGGCAGCGUCUGUCAGAUGCCACCGAAUGAGAAUGUGGAUGAGUGCGAGCUGCAGAGCUGGGCUGACCCACGUCCUGCG